ensembl:lncRNA
UGUACCUUCCCCUAAAGCUCCGUUGUUGCACUCAGGUCCUUCGGGUCCAUUGAAAGACACUUUACAGGAGUAUCUUAAAGUACUCACGUGCGCAUUGAAGAAUGCCCAUUUCAGUGCCCUCAGUGCUCAACAUGCUGGAGAUCUUAAAAACACUAUAUUCAAUUGGGGGAUGAGGUAAUGAUACAAAAAAUAGGGAACUUAGGACCAAUGUCCUCCAGGUAUGAGGGUCCUUAUUUGGUGUUGUUGACUACUCCAACAUCUCUUCUUGUUGAAAUCGAGCCAGGGCUGACUCGAUGGAUGCAUCUUGCACAAGUGAAGCCUCUGUCGCCGCUUGCUGAUACUAACUCUCUUUCUAAUGUGAUUUAGUCCAACAGGUGCAGUAUUUUAUAUCCAAGGAAUGGCUGCUAAGGAAGAACAAUGACUAAUUGUUUCCUCUCUUUAGGUUCUCAACUAUG